GUACUAAUCUGGCAGGGGAGUGACGGGAAUCACAAGGCUGUUCUCCCGGGCUAAGUCUUGACCACUGCACUUCGGGUGUGCUGACGUCUGCCAUGUCCUCAUUGUGGGAUACUCGACCGUUAAAUAUUUGGUGGUGGGGACUGUGUUCCCGCUCUCCCUG